GCUUAAAAGAGCAAACAGACUGCAAGCAACCAGAAUGGAUGGGAUGAUCUCAGAUAGAUCGGGAUGGCCUUCAGAAGGAGAAUGUCCUGACUUGCUUGCUUGUGAAAGUCUUUCAAGCAAGAAGGGCCUGCGAUGGCCAAGCUAGGUAUGCCUUCUUGACCAGAUUCUGCUCAGCUGCCUGACACCACUGAUAGUGAAAUCCAGUUGAGCCCUGCUCUCCUGAUAGUGCUGCAAGGCACCAUUUAACAGAAGCUUCCUGAGGCAGAACCUUCAGAGAAUUCAAGGACUCACUCUGUCGUCAUCAUCAGAAGUGCAUGUUUCCAUUGCUGAGUCAGAAGAACUAAAUUGGAGCUGGCCCAGAAACAAAUGAUGAGACCCGAGGCUACGCAGCAAAACAGGAGCUAGCCCAUGUCUCCCUGAUUCCCUUCCUCAGAAUGAAAGUCCAUGAGCCCAAAAAGCAGCGAAUGGGAAACAUCAGAAAUACAGCCUCAAGCAAAGAAAAUCUCAAAGCAGGUACCUAGGAGAGAAAACUGCCCACAGUGCAAAAGAAUCAAUAAAGAACACUGUGAUGAACCACAGCCCACCCCAACCCAAAAAGAUAGCUUUGCCCUCACAGUGAACAGUCUUUUAAGCAAUGAGGCUAUUUCACUGCAAGCUAUUCAUAAUUCGUCAUUAUUGUACUUGAAGAUGUAGAAACACCAAGGGUCUUCACAUCAGCCAUUGCCGUAAUUAGAAAGGAACAUCACAUCAUAUCCAUGGCAUUUGCUACCCUUUGUAUAAACAGGUAAGUUUGAAUUCUUAUAUGGUUUGCCUACAAAAACAUGUAUUUCUUCCUUAUCAGCAAGUUGCUGUUUAAACAACUUUGUGCUUUAAUAUUAACGUAAUAACAGCUCACAUUUACUGUACAUUUACACAACAACUCAUUACUAGCUCACUUAAUCCUUAUAACAACCAUGUCAAGGGCUCCUUUUACAUAUAGCAGGAAACAAAAGCUUAGAGAGCUCAAGUCACUUGAUCAAAAUCACGCCGUUUGGAAGUGCUAGAGUUUAGGUUCAAAUUGAGGUCUCCCUAGCUGCUCACCUUGAGAACUUAAUCACAUUUCUAUGCUGUUGUUUACAAAACCAAAUUCUGAGCCCUAAUGCUGUCAAACUUUAAUAGCAAAUUCUCAUUCCUCCAACUCAUUGAGCUGAUUUUUCACACAUUUUAAAUGACAUCAGUUAAAACACAGUCUGUACUUAUUUCUCAGGCUUCCGAGCUGAUACCACAUUUUAGGUGUGGCUCGGGAGCAUAAGUACCUGGUUCAGGGAAUCCCAGGCUUCUCCUUAUCUUUUUUUUC
rnacentral:lncRNA from 1 species